AGAGUUUGAUCAUGGCUCAGGAUGAACGCUAGCGGCAGGCUUAAUACAUGCAAGUCGAGGGGUAACAUGGGUAGCAAUACCUGAUGACGACCGGCAAACGGGUGCGGAACACGUACGCAACCUUCCCAUAACUGGUGAAUAGCCCUCCGAAAGGAGGAUUAAUACACCGUAACAUAAUGAAGUGGCAUCACUUUAUUAUUAUAGGCUUCGGCCGGUUUUGGAUGGGCGUGCGCCUGAUUAGGUAGUUGGCGGGGUAACGGCCCACCAAGCCUGCGAUCAGUAACUGGUGUGAGAGCACGACCAGUCACACGGGCACUGAGACACGGGCCCGACUCCUACGGGAGGCAGCAGUAAGGAAUAUUGGUCAAUGGACGAAAGUCUGAACCAGCCAUGCCGCGUGAAGGAUUAAGGCCCUCUGGGUUGUAAACUUCUUUUAUAUGGGACGAAAAAAGGGUAUUCUUACUCACUUGACGGUACCAUAGGAAUAAGCACCGGCUAACUCCGUGCCAGCAGCCGCGGUAAUACGGAGGGUGCAAGCGUUAUCCGGAUUUACUGGGUUUAAAGGGUGCGUAGGUGGGCAGUUAAGUCAGUGGUGAAAUCUCCGAGCUUAACUCGGAAACUGCCAUUGAUACUAUCUGUCUUGAAUUAUCUGGAGGUGAGCGGAAUAUGUCAUGUAGCGGUGAAAUGCUUAGAUAUGACAUAGAACACCAAUUGCGAAGGCAGCUCACUACGGGUAUAUUGACACUGAGGCACGAAAGCGUGGGGAUCAAACAGGAUUAGAUACCCUAGUAGUCC
rnacentral:rRNA from 1 species